AGAGUUUGAUCCUGGCUCAGGAUGAACGCUGGCGGCGUGCUUAACACAUGCAAGUCGAACGAACCUUCGGGUUAGUGGCGGACGGGUGAGUAACGCGUGAGAAUCUGCCCUCAGGAGGGGGAUAACGGCUGGAAACGGCCGCUAAUACCCCAUAUGCCGAGAGGUGAAAUGAAUUUCGCCUGAGGAUGAGCUCGCGUCUGAUUAGCUAGUUGGUGUGGUAAAGGCUCACCAAGGCAUCGAUCAGUAGCUGGUCUGAGAGGAUGAUCAGCCACACUGGGACUGAGACACGGCCCAGACUCCUACGGGAGGCAGCAGUGGGGAAUUUUCCGCAAUGGGCGCAAGCCUGACGGAGCAACGCCGCGUGAGGGAUGAAGGCCUCUGGGCUGUAAACCUCUUUUAUCAAGGAAGAAGAUCUGACGGUACUUGAUGAAUAAGCCACGGCUAAUUCCGUGCCAGCAGCCGCGGUAAUACGGGAGUGGCAAGCGUUAUCCGGAAUUAUUGGGCGUAAAGCGUCCGCAGGCGGUCUUGAAAGUCUGUUGUUAAAGCGUGGAGCUCAACUCCAUUUCAGCAAUGGAAACUAGAAGACUAGAGUGUGGUAGGGGCAGAGGGAAUUCCCGGUGUAGCGGUGAAAUGCGUAGAUAUCGGGAAGAACACCAGUGGCGAAGGCGCUCUGCUGGGCCAUAACUGACGCUCAUGGACGAAAGCCAGGGGAGCGAAAGGGAUUAGAUACCCCUGUAGUCCUGGCCGUAAACGAUGAACACUAGGUGUCGGGGGAAUCGACCCCCUCGGUGUCGUAGCCAACGCGUUAAGUGUUCCGCCUGGGGAGUACGCACGCAAGUGUGAAACUCAAAGGAAUUGACGGGGGCCCGCACAAGCGGUGGAGUAUGUGGUUUAAUUCGAUGCAACGCGAAGAACCUUACCAGGGUUUGACAUCCUGCGAAUCCCUUGGAAACUUGGGAGUGCCUUCGGGAGCGCAGUGACAGGUGGUGCAUGGCUGUCGUCAGCUCGUGUCGUGAGAUGUUGGGUUAAGUCCCGCAACGAGCGCAACCCACGUUUUUAGUUGCCAGCAUUAAGUUGGGCACUCUAGAGAGACUGCCGGUGAUAAACCGGAGGAAGGUGUGGAUGACGUCAAGUCAUCAUGCCCCUUACAUCCUGGGCUACACACGUACUACAAUGCUACGGACAAAGGGCAGCAAACUCGCGAGAGCUGGCAAAUCCCAUAAACCGUGGCUCAGUUCAGAUCGUAGGCUGCAACUCGCCUACGUGAAGGAGGAAUCGCUAGUAAUCGCAGGUCAGCAUACUGCGGUGAAUACGUUCCCGGGCCUUGUACACACCGCCCGUCACACCAUGGAAGUUGGCCACGCCCGAAGUCGUUACUCCAACCCGCAAGGGAGGAGGAUGCCGAAGGUGGGGCUGAUGACUGGGGUGAAGUCGUAACAAGGUA
rnacentral:rRNA from 1 species